rnacentral:tRNA from 1 species
UAGCUCAGAUGGUAAAGAAUCUGCCUGCAAUGCAGGAGACCCAGGUUCGAUCCCUGG